AUGGACUAACAACCAAUCAUCUCCGCCCUCGACAUGCGCAAUGAACCUGUCACCAUCGACGCGCUCUACUCUCUGGUGGCGAACUUCGAUUAGCGGAUCGAGAUGUUCCAUGGCGGUGGUGCUGGUGGCUUCAAGUCAUCGGUAAACGCUACCUCCACGGGUCGUCCAAACGCUGGCAAGGGAGGCUACUGCAACCAGAAGGGCGGCGAUGGUGGUGCCCCCCGAGGAAACGACUUUGGUAGCUGCCGCCACCGCCGUUGUAGCUUCCUCCACCAGUGCCGUAGUUGCCGCCACCGGGAGCACCGUAGCCACCGCUGUUUCUUCUGGGGCUGCCCAACCCUUCUGGUUGUGGUAGCCUCCCUUGCCGGUGUUUGGACGACCCCUGGAGGCAGCGUUUACCGAUGA
rnacentral:rRNA from 1 species